rnacentral:misc_RNA from 1 species
GAUGAAGAACGCAGCGAAAUGCGAUACGUAAUGUGAAUUGCAGAAUUCAGUGAAUCAUCGAAUCUUUGAACGCAUAUUGCGCUCUCUGGUAUUCCGGAGAGCAUGCUUGUUUGAGUAUCAGUAAACACCUCAACUCCCUUUUCUUUUUUGAAAUUGGAGCUGGACUUGAGUGAUCCCAACGCUUUCUUCCAAGAAAGUGGCGGGUUGCUUGAAAUGCAGGUGCAGCUGAACGUUUCUCUGAGCUAUAAGCAUAUAUAUUUAGUCUGCCUAAAAAACAGAUUAUUACCUUUGCUGCAGCUAACAUAAAGGAGACUAGUUCUUGUGCUGACUGAUGCAGGAUUCACAGAGACAGCUUCGGCUGACUUUGUAAACUCGAUCUCAAAUCAAGUAAGACUACCCGCUGAACUUAAGCAUAUCAAUAAGCGGAGGA